UAAGGAAUAUUGGUCAAUGGACGCAAGUCUGAACCAGCCAUGCCGCGUGAAGGAUGAAGGUCCUCUGGAUUGUAAACUUCUUUUAUCUGGGACGAAAACGGGAUUUUUAUCUCAAUUGACGGUACCAGAGGAAUAAGCACCGGCUAACUCCGUGCCAGCAGCCGCGGUAAUACGGAGGGUGCAAGCGUUAUCCGGAUUUACUGGGUUUAAAGGGUGCGUAGGUGGGCUUAUAAGUCAGUGGUGAAAUCUCCGAGCUUAACUUGGAAACAGCCGUUGAUACUAUAGGUCUUGAAUUAUCUGGAGGUAAGCGGAAUAUGUCAUGUAGCAGUGACAUGCUUAGAUAUGACAUAGAACACCAAUUGCGAAGGCAGCUUACUACAUAUAAAUUGACGCU
rnacentral:rRNA from 1 species